UCAACAUCUUCAGUAUUAGAAAUCUCGA
rnacentral:piRNA from 1 species